rnacentral:rRNA from 1 species
AGGACUAACGCUGGCGGCGUGCCUAACACAUGCAAGUCGAACGAGGUAGCAAUACCUAGUGGCAGACGGGUGAGUAACACGUAGUCAACCUUCCCGACAGUGGGGGAUAACUAGCCGAAAGGUUAGCUAAUACCGCAUACGAUCUUCGAGUGGCAUCAUUUGAAGAUGAAAGGAGCAAUCCGCUUUCGGACGGGACUGCGUCCCAUUAGCUAGAUGGUGGGGUAAUGGCCUACCAUGGCAACGAUGGGUAGCUGGUUUGAGAGAGCGACCAGCCACACUGGGACUGAGAAACGGCCCAGACUCCUACGGAGGCAGCAGUGAGGAAUUUUCCGCAAUGGGCGAAAGCCUGACGGAGCGACGCCGCGUGUGGGAAGAAGGCCUUCGGGUCGUAAACCACUGUCGAAGGGGAAAAUACUGAUGGUACCCUUGGAGGAAGCCCGGCUAACUACGUGCCAGCAGCCGC